rnacentral:rRNA from 1 species
UUCCGGUUGAUCCUGCCGGAGGUUACUGCUAUCGGUGUUCGCCUAAGCCAUGCGAGUCAUAUGUUCUUCGUGAACAUGGCGUACUGCUCAGUAACACGUGGAUAACCUGCCCUUGGGUCCGGCAUAACCCCGGGAAACUGGGGAUAAUUCCGGAUAACGCAUAUAUGCUGGAAUGCUUUAUGCGUAAAAUGGAUUCGUCUGCCCAAGGAUGGGUCUGCGGCCUAUCAGGUAGUAGUGGGUGUAAUGUACCUACUAGCCGACGACGGGUACGGGUUGUGAGAGCAAGAGCCCGGAGAUGGAUUCUGAGACAUGAAUCCAGGCCCUACGGGGCGCAGCAGGCGCGAAAACUUUACAAUGCGGGAAACCGUGAUAAGGGGACACCGAGUGCCAGCAUCAUAUGCUGGCUGUCCGGGUGUGUAAAAUACACCUGUUAGCAAGGGCCGGGCAAGACCGGUGCCAGCCGCCGCGGUAACACCGGCGGCCCGAGUGGUGAUCGUGAUUAUUGGGUCUAAAGGGUCCGUAGCCGGUUUGGUCAGUCCUCCGGGAAAUCUGACGGCUCAACCGUUAGGCUUUCGGGGGAUACUGCCAGGCUUGGAACCGGGAGAGGUAAGAGGUACUACAGGGGUAGGUGUGAAAUCUUGUAAUCCCUGUGGGACCACCUGUGGCGAAGGCGUCUUACCAGAACGGGUUCGACGGUGAGGGACGAAAGCUGGGGGCACGAACCGGAUUAGAUACCCGGGUAGUCCCAGCCGUAAACGAUGCUCGCUAGGUGUCAGGCAUGGCGCGACCGUGUCUGGUGCCGCAGGGAAGCCGUGAAGCGAGCCACCUGGGAAGUACGGCCGCAAGGCUGAAACUUAAAGGAAUUGGCGGGGGAGCAC